GGUUGCGAUCAUACCAGCACUAAUGCGCCGGAUCCCAUCAGAACUAUGCAGUUAAGCGUGCUUGGGCGAGAGUAGUACUAGGAUGGGUGACCCCCUGGGAAGUCCUCGUGUUGCAACCC
rnacentral:rRNA from 1 species